GUUAUUUGAGGUGGUAAACUUCGCAGCGACCACACGCCGAUGGCACGACAGGGGCGACCCGAGAGAUGCAGGAGAAUGCUGCGCCUGCCAAAUAAC
rnacentral:ncRNA from 24 species